GGGCGGUUAACUCAGCAGGUAGAGUGUCAUCGUGACAUGGUGAAAGUCGUAGGUUCGAGUCCUAUACCGCCCA
rnacentral:tRNA from 1 species